UUUUACUGAUUUUUUAUGCAUAAUAAUGUUGAAUGUUAGUUGGAUCUGCUCUUGUUGGUUAUGUGAUGUGACUCAUUCGUUUGCGCCAAUAUUGGAUUGGAUCUGUACGUGUUUGUUAAGUUGAUUUGGGAUUUUUUUUCGUCGUUUAUCCCUUUGUUUAUACGCUAUAUAUAAUUUUCAAGUGAUGAUAUGUUUACUUGAUGUAGGUUUUGUUAUAUUUGAUCCGCUUGUGUGAUGAUUUUGGUGUCUUUUGUGUAGAUCUAUUUGUUCUGGGAGUCAAUAUUAGAAACCCUUUCUAAGAAUACAUGCUUCUGGUUUAUAUUUGUCAACUGCGACAUUGUGUUUUAAUUAUGUUAUUACUGUUAUUUGACUAAUUCAUUAAAAACAUUUGACAAUCGAGCUUCCCUGACUAUAUAUGAACUGUAGUAGAUUAUGGUGUUUAUGUACCUUUACUCAACCAUUUGAUUUGGUCAAUCAUUUGAUUUGAAUUUUGGGAUAGAUUUUUCCCUUUUUAAGUAAUUAUCAUGGGCCGAUGGAAUUGUGAUAUGGUAUUGCAUCUUGAUUACUACAGAUUUUUAUUUGUUCCACUGCAAUAGCUGGGAAGUGUUUUUUCCUUUACAUUGUGUCAAAAUUAAGCUAUUUUAUUGGAUGGUGUUGUAAGUUUUAGUGCAGGCGUGGC
rnacentral:misc_RNA from 1 species